AUGGCUGUCGUCAGCUCGUGUCGUGAGAUGUUGGGUUAAGUCCCGCAACGAGCGCAACCCUUGUCCUUAGUUGCCAUCAUUCAGUUGGGAACUCUAAGGAGACCGCCGGUGACAAACCGGAGGAAGGUGGGGAUGACGUCAAGUCAUCAUGGCCUUUAUGUCCAGGGCUACACACGUGCUACAAUGGUAGGUACAGAGGGAAGCCAACGCGCGAGCGGGAGCCAAUCCCAGAAAACCUAUCGUAGUCCGGAUCGGAGUCUGCAACUCGACUCCGUGAAGUCGGAAUCGCUAGUAAUCGCAGAUCAGCAUUGCUGCGGUGAAUACGUUCCCGGGUCUUGUACACACCGCCCGUCACGCCAUGGAAGUGGCGAGCGCCCGAAGUCCGUGUCGGAACCCGCAAGGGGCCAAGCGGCCGAAGGCGAGCGUCAUGACUGGGGCGAAGUCGUAACAAGGUAGCCGUAGGGGAACCUGCGGCUGGAUCACCUCCUUAACGGAGCUGCGAGUAAGGCAGACUUGCUGGGGCAACCCAGGUUACUUGCCGGAAAGCACUCACGUGUCGCUCGUCUCGUAUCAUCCCGAUCUCAAUCUCGAUUUCCAUAUACAAAGAGCCCGAACCACGGCCCGCUAUCGCGGGAAUGAUUCGGGCUCGAAAGAACAAGAGGGACUGCACCUUAGGUCCUUAAGCACCAAGCGACAGAGCGCUUAUAUCUCGAAAGUUUUUUGACAAUGGAAAGUAGUAGUGAUCGUGGGAUUUGAGUGGCUGGACCUGAUAAGAUCUGGCCACUGAGAAUCAACACUAGUGACACAAUUUCAUAGAAGCUCUGACCUAACGGUUGGGGCUCGAUUUGUCUCAAAGAGCUUGUCUAGCUCCGAGAGUCCAAAUGAUUGUAUCACUCGUUAGAUCGCGCGUGUUUCUGUUUGAACAAGUUAUUUGAUCAAGCGAAAGAAAGUAUGUGGGGGAUGCCUAGGUACACAGAGGCGAUGAAGGCCGUGGUAAGCUGCGAUAAGCCAGGGGGAGCUGCACACAAGCUAUGAGCCCUGGAUGGCCGAAUGGGGAAACCCGG
rnacentral:sRNA from 1 species